rnacentral:rRNA from 1 species
UCAAAUGGAGAGUUUGAUCCUGGCUCAGGAUGAACGCUGGCGGCAUGCCUAAUACAUGCAAGUCGAACGGUAUCUUUGGAUACAGUGGCGAACGGGUGAGU